UGGGGAAUAUUGGACAAUGGGCGCAAGCCUGAUCCAGCCAUGCCGCGUGAGUGAUGAAGGCCUUAGGGUUGUAAAGCUCUUUUGUCCGGGACGAUAAUGACGGUACCGGAAGAAUAAGCCCCGGCUAACUUCGUGCCAGCAGCCGCGGUAAUACGAAGGGGGCUAGCGUUGCUCGGAAUCACUGGGCGUAAAGGGCGCGUAGGCGGCUUUUUAAGUCGGGGGUGAAAGCCUGUGGCUCAACCACAGAAUUGCCUUCGAUACUGGAAAGCUUGAGACCGGAAGAGGACAGCGGAACUGCGAGUGUAGAGGUGAAAUUCGUAGAUAUUCGCAAGAACACCAGUGGCGAAGGCGGCUGUCUGGUCCGGUUCUGACGCUGAGGCGCGAAAGCGUGGGGAGCAAACA
rnacentral:rRNA from 1 species